rnacentral:rRNA from 1 species
GACGAACGCUGGCGGCGUGCUUAACACAUGCAAGUCGAACGGAAAGGCCCUGCGUUUGUGGGGUGCUCGAGUGGCGAACGGGUGAGUAACACGUGAGUAACCUGCCCUUGACUUUGGGAUAACUUCAGGAAACUGGGGCUAAUACCGGAUAUGAGCUCCUGCUGCAUGGUGGGGGUUGGAAAGUUUCGGCGGUUGGGGAUGGACUCGCGGCUUAUCAGCUUGUUGGUGGGGUAGGGGCUUACCAAGGCUUUGACGGGUAGCCGGCCUGAGCGGGUGACCGGCCACAUUGCGACUGAGAUACGGACCAGACUCCUACGGGCGGCAGCAGUGGGGAAUAUUGCACAAUGGGCGGAAGCCAGAUGCAGAAACGCCGCGUGCGGGAUGACGGCCUUCGGGUUGUAAACCGAUUUCGACUGUGACGAAGCGUGAGUGACGGUAAUGGGUAAAGAAGCACCGGCUAACUACGUG